GUCAGGAUGGCCGAGCGGUCCAAGGCGCUGCGUUCAGGUCGCACGGUCUUCCGGGCGUGGGUUCGAAUCCCACUUCUGACA
rnacentral:tRNA from 1 species